rnacentral:rRNA from 1 species
UACAGAGGUCCCAAGCGUUGUUCGGAUUCACUGGGCGUAAAGGGUGCGUAGGCGGUCAUUUAAGUCUGACGUGAAAUCUCCGGGCCUAACCCGGAAACUGCGUUGGAAACUAUCUGACUAGAGGAAUGGAGGGGAGACUGGAAUACUUGGUGUAGCAGUGAAAUGCGUAGAUAUCAAGUGGAACACCAGUGGCGAAGGCGAGUCUCUGGACAUUUCCUGACGCUGAGGCGCGAAAGCUAGGGGAGCAAACAGG